rnacentral:rRNA from 1 species
UACGGGGGGGGCAAGCGUUGUUCGGAAUUACUGGGCGUAAAGGGCUCGUAGGCGGCCAACUAAGUCGGACGUGAAAUCCCCAGGCUCAACCUGGGAACUGCGUCCGAUACUGGAUGGCUUGAAUCCGGGAGAGGGAUGCAGAAUUCCAGGUGUAGCGGUGAAAUGCGUAGAUAUCUGGAGGAACACCGGUGGCGAAGGCGGCAUCCUGGACCGAAACUGACGCUGAGGAGCGAAAGCCAGGGGAGCAAACGGG